GGCCCUAUCGUCUAUCGGCUAGGACGCCGCCCUUUCAAGGCGGAAAGACGGGUUCGAUUCCCGUUAGGGCCACCA
rnacentral:tRNA from 1 species